rnacentral:rRNA from 1 species
GACGAACGCUGGCGGCGUGCUUAACACAUGCAAGUCGAACGGAAAGGCCCUGCUUUUGUGGGGUGCUCGAGUGGUGAACGGGUGAGUAACACGUGAGUAACCUGCCCUUGACUUUGGGAUAACUUCAGGAAACUGGGGCUAAUACCGGAUAGGAGCUCCUGCUGCAUGGUGGGGGUUGGAAAGUUUCGGCGGUUGGGGAUGGAAUCGCGGCUUAUCAGCUUGUUGGUGGGGUAGUGGCUUACCAAGGCUUUGACGGGUAGCCGGCCUGAGAGGGUGACCGGACACAUUGGGACUGGGAUACGGCCCAGACUCCUACGGGAGGCAGCAGUGGGGAAUAUUGCACAAUGGGCGGAAGCCUGAUGCAGCAACGCCGCGUGCGGGAUGACGGCCUUCGGGUUGUAAACCGCUUUCGCCUGUGACGAAGCGUGAGUGACGGUAAUGGGUAAAGAAGCACCGGCUAACUACGUG